rnacentral:rRNA from 1 species
CUACGUGCCAGCAGCCGCGGUAAUACGUAGGUGGCAAGCGUUGUCCGGAUUUAUUGGGCGUAAAGCGAGCGCAGGCGGAAAGAUAAGUCUGAUGUGAAAGCCCUCGGCUUAACCGAGGAACUGCAUCGGAAACUGUUUUUCCUGAGUGCAGAAGAGGAGAGUGGAACUCCAUGUGUAGCGGUGGAAUGCGUAGAUAUAUGGAAGAACACCAGUGGCGAAGGCGGCUCUCUGGUCUGCAACUGACGCUGAGGCUCGAAAGCAUGGGUAGCGAACAGGAUUAGAUACCCUGGUAGUCCAUGCCGUAAACGAUGAGUGCUAAGUGUUGGGAGGUUUCCGCCUCUCAGUGCUGCAGCUAACGCAUUAAGCACUCCGCCUGGGGAGUACGACCGCAAGGUUGAAACUCAAAGGAAUUGACGGGGGCCCGCACAAGCGGUGGAGCAUGUGGUUUAAUUCGAAGCAACGCGAAGAACCUUACCAGGUCUUGACAUCUAGUGCCAUCCUAAGAGAUUAGGAGUUCCCUUCGG